rnacentral:lncRNA from 1 species
GCUGCAACCCAAAAUAAACAUCACGCCCCUAACAAGUUGAAAUGGAACACAGACCAAUCAGACAAACAGAUCAAAAACACCCAUGAACAAAGACACGAACGUAGGAAUAAUAGAUCAAAAACAUCCAAAUCUGAAAAUUAAAAAUUAACAGUAAAGCAUAAUUGACAAAUCGAAAUACACAUAUUCAAGCCAUCUAUUAAAACAAACCACUGGAAUCAAAUGCUCCAUAUAUUCGCCCAUAAAUUCGAAUCAAAGGCUCUCGCUCUCGCUCUCGCUCUCGCUGCUGCCUAUAUUUUUCCUUUCCCCAGUUACGCAUAAUAUUUAGAUUCCAAUUCCAAUAUAAAAAGAAAUGAAGCCACCGUAACUCAUCACCGUCCUAGACUGUUCGUCCAUCGUCUUCCUCAUCCUGCUGAAAAUUGAACUUUAAUCUUUCUUUACAGAAACAUAUAGAUAUAGAUAUAGAUAUAGAUAUAGAUAUAGAUAUAGAUUAGAGAAAAUAUUGCAGAGGGAGAGAUGAAGUUUCAAAUCGAAGAUGUUACUGUGUACUUCCCAUACGAUCACAUUUACCCAGAACAAUACUCAUACAUGGUGGAACUGAAGCGUGCCCUAGAUGCCAAAGGCCACUCUCUCCUCGAAAUGCCCACCGGCACAGGAAAAACCAUUGCCCUACUCUCUCACAUCAUCAGCUACUCCCUCUCCAAACCCUCCAAUACAACUUUGUUGCCCCGUUAUCGCCAUGUCAUCCUUUCCAUUUGACCUGUCAAAUUUUUAAACCUACUGUUUAACGGAGUGUAACAAUUUUCGAGUAGAAUUACCAAUUUAUAACUUUUUUUCACUUUGGGUACCAAAUUGUAAGUCGUGUUUCAGUACAGGUACCAAAAGUUAAUUUAUCCCCGUCUUACUUAGGUAUACUGAUGUUCACUCACAAAUCAUCACUUUCUUUGAUGUUAGUUUUUGUUACUUUGGUUAUAUGAUAUUGUAUGCCUCUGCUCUGUUUCAUGAAGAAUA